ACACUCCUACGGGAGGCAGCAGUGGGGAAUUUUGGACAAUGGGCGAAAGCCUGAUCCAGCAAUGCCGCGUGAGUGAAGAAGGCCUUCGGGUUGUAAAGCUCUUUUGUCAGGGAAGAAACGGUGAAAGCUAAUAUCUUUUGCUAAUGACGGUACCUGAAGAAUAAGCACCGGCUAACUACGUACCAGCAGCCGCGGUAAUACGUAGGGUGCAAGCGUUAAUCGGAAUUACUGGGCGUAAAGCGUGCGCAGGCGGUUUUGUAAGUCUGAUGUGAAAUCCCCGGGCUCAACCUGGGAAUUGCAUUGGAGACUGCAAGGCUAGAAUCUGGCAGAGGGGGGUAGAAUUCCACGUGUAGCAGUGAAAUGCGUAGAUAUGUGGAGGAACACCGAUGGCGAAGGCAGCCCCCUGGGUCAAGAUUGACGCUCAUGCACGAAAGCGUGGGGAGCAAACAGGAUUAGAUACCCUUGUAGUCCCAUG
rnacentral:rRNA from 1 species